CCUACGGGUAGCAGCAGUGGGGAAUAUUGGACAAUGGGCGAAAGCCUGAUCCAGCCAUGCCGCGUGUGUGAAGAAGGCCUUCGGGUUGUAAAGCACUUUCAGUGGGGAAGAAAGCCUUGGGGCUAAUACCCUCGAGGAAGGACAUCACCCACAGAAGAAGCACCGGCUAACUCCGUGCCAGCAGCCGCGGUAAUACGGAGGGUGCGAGCGUUAAUCGGAAUUACUGGGCGUAAAGCGCGCGUAGGCGGUCUGAUAAGCCGGUUGUGAAAGCCCCGGGCUCAACCUGGGAACGGCAUCCGGAACUGUCAGGCUAGAGUGCAGGAGAGGAAGGUAGAAUUCCCGGUGUAGCGGUGAAAUGCGUAGAGAUCGGGAGGAAUACCAGUGGCGAAGGCGGCCUUCUGGACUGACACUGACGCUGAGGUGCAAAAGCGUGGGUAGCAAACAGGAUUAGAUACCCUGGUAGUC
rnacentral:rRNA from 1 species